rnacentral:misc_RNA from 1 species
GAACGCACAUUGCACUCCUUUGGAGUAUGACUGUUUGAGAAUCUAUAGUAUUUAUUUUUGGUUAUUUCGCAAGAGAUAAUCAAGAGAUUUGAGGUGUCUCUUUCGAGAGUACCUUUAAUGUUAUAGCCUCUUUUGUGGUAAAACAACUCUGCAGAACAGUAUUUGAAUGGAACUUUGGUUUCUUUAAUGCCUAAUAUGCAGACUUACCUAUUGAAAAGGGGGUCCAUAAACUUAAAGUAGUACCUCGGUGCUACUUGAACCAUGGUCUCAAAUCAGGUAGGAAGACCCGCUGAACUUAAG